UGGGAGUUUGCCCGAGUGGUUAAUGGGGACGGGCUGUAAACCCGUUGGCUCUGCCUACAUAGGUUCGAAUCCUAUAGCUCCCACCC
rnacentral:tRNA from 1 species